rnacentral:rRNA from 1 species
GACGAACGCUGGCGGCGUGCUUAACACAUGCAAGUCGAACGGAAAGGCCCUGCUUUUGUGGGGUGCUCGAGUGGCGAACGGGUGAGUAACACGUGAGUAACCUGCCCUUGACUUUGGGAUAACUUCAGGAAACUGGGGCUAAUACCGGAUAGGAGCUCCUGCUGCAUGGUGGGGGUUGGAAAGUUUCGACGGUUGGGGAUGGACUCGCGGCUUAUCAGCUUGUUGGUGGGGUAGUGGCUUACCAAGGCUUUGACGGGUAGCCGGCCUGAGGGGGUGACCGGCCACAUUGGGACUGAGAUACGGCCCAGACUCCUACGGGAGGCAGCAGUGGGGAAUAUUGCACAAUGGGCGGAAGCCUGAUGCAGCAACGCCGCGUGCGGGAUGACGGCCUUCGGGUUGUAAACCGCUUUCGCCUGUGACGAAGCGUGAGUGACGGUAAUGGGUAAAGAAGCACCGGCUAACUACGUG